rnacentral:rRNA from 1 species
UGAGUUUGAUCCUGGCUCAGGAUGAACGCUAGCGACAGGCCUAACACAUGCAAGUCGAGGGGUAACAGGGAAGCUUGCUUCCGCUGACGACCGGCGCACGGGUGCGUAACGCGUAUGAAACCUGCCUUAUACUGGGGGAUAGCCCGAAGAAAUUCGGAUUAAUACCCCAUAAGAUUAUUGAUUGGCAUCAAUUAAUAAUUAAAACUCCGGUGGUAUAAGAUGGUCAUGCGUGACAUUAGCUAGUUGGUAAGGUAACGGCUUACCAAGGCGACGAUGUCUAGGGGUUCUGAGAGGAAGGUCCCCCACACUGGUACUGAGACACGGACCAGACUCCUACGGGAGGCAGCAGUGAGGAAUAUUGGUCAAUGGACGCAAGUCUGAACCAGCCAUGUCGCGUGCAGGAAGACUGCCCUAUGGGUUGUAAACUGCUUUUAUAUGGGAAGAAAUAUAGUUACGUGUAAUUAUUUGCCGGUACCAUAUGAAUAAGCAUCGGCUNNCUCCGUGCCAGCAGCCGCGGUAAUACGGAGGAUGCGAGCGUUAUCCGGAUUCAUUGGGUUUAAAGGGUGCGUAGGCGGAAUA